UACGGAGGUUGCAAGCGUUAUCCGGAUUCACUGGGUUUAAAGGGUGCGUAGGCGGACUUAUAAGUCAGUGGUGAAAGCCCGGGGCUCAACUCCGGAACUGCCGUUGAUACUGCAAGUCUCGAGUACAGUUGAGGUGGGCGGAAUACAUCAUGUAGAGGUGAAAUUCUUAGAUAUGAUGUAGAACACCGAUUGCGAAGGCAGCUCACUAAAGUGUAACUGACGCUGAGGCACGAAAGCGUGGGUAUCAAACAGG
rnacentral:rRNA from 1 species